AGGUUGUGUUGAGGACAUUUCCUCAAGUGCUUCUUGAAACGCUCCCAAGCUUCAUAGAGAUUCUCUUCUGCAGUUUGAGCAAAGGUCAUGAUGUCAUUUUUCAGCUU